rnacentral:rRNA from 1 species
UACUAAGGGCGCACGGUGGAUGCCUUGGCAGAAACAGGCGAUGAAGGACGUGGCAAGCUGCGAUAAGCUUCGGGAAGCCGCACACAGGCGUUGAUCCGGAGAUUUCCGAAUGGGGAAACCCACCAUGGUGAUCCCAUGGUAUGUCCUACUGAAUACAUAGGUAGGAACAGGCGAACGGAGGGAAGUGAACCAUCUCAGUACCUCCAGGAGUAGAAAGAAACCUCGAUUCCGAGAGUAGUGGCGAGCGAAAUCGGACAUAGCCCAAACCCGUGAUAUUUCGGUAUCUCGGGGGUUGUAGGGCCUGCACUAGUAGAGUUACCAAUCCAGUCGAUAGCUGAAGACCGUUGGAAAGCGGUCCCAAAGAGCGUGACAGGCGCGUAGGCGAAAUUGAUCUGGACUCGAAGCAGGUACCUGAGUAAGGCGGGGCACGAGAAACCCUGCUUGAAUCCACGGGGACCAUCCCGUAAGGCUAAAUACUCGUUUCUGACCGAUAGUGAACCAGUACCGUGAGGGAAAGGCGAAAAGAACCCCUGUGAGGGGAGUGAAAUAGAUCCUGAAACCGUGCACGUACAAGCAGUCGGAGCCCGCUUUGUUGGGUGACGGCGUACCUUUUGUAUAAUGGGUCAGCGACUUAUUCUCAGUAGCGAGGUUAACCAUCUAGGGGAGCCGUAGGGAAACCGAGUCUGAAUAGGGCGUUUAGUUGCUGGGAAUAGACCCGAAACCGGACGAUCUACCCAUGGCCAGAGUGAAGGUGCGGUAACACGCACUGGAGGCUCGAACCCAAGUAUGUUGAAAAAUGCUGGGAUGAGCUGUGGGUCGGAGUGAAAGGCUAAUCAAGUCCGGAGAUAGCUGGUUCUCCCCGAAAGCUAUUUAGGUAGCGCCUCGUAUAUCACCACCGGGGGUAGAGCACUGUUUCGGCUAGGGGCCCAUCCCGGGUUACCAAACCGAUGCAAACUCCGAAUACCGGUGAGUGCAGUACGGGAGACACACGGCGGGUGCUAACGUCCGUCGUGGAGAGGGAAACAACCCUGACCAACAGCUAAGGUCCCCAAGUCAUGGCUAAGUGGGAAAGGAUGUGAGACUCCCAAAACAACCAGGAUGUUGGCUUAGAAGCAGCCAUCAUUUAAAGAAAGCGUAACAGCUCACUGGUCAAGCGAUCCUGCGCGGAAAAUGUAACGGGGCUCAAGCCGUUUACCGAAGCUGCGGACUCGAGAGAGUGGUAGCGGAGCGUUCCCUACGCCAGUGAAGCAGAGGCGUGAGCCUCUGUGGAGGUAUGGGAAGUGAGAAUGCUGACAUGAGUAGCGACAAAGAGGGUGAGAUGCCCUCUCGCCGAAAGACCAAGGGUUCCUGCGCAACGCUAAUCGGCGCA